rnacentral:misc_RNA from 1 species
GAUGAAGAACGCAGCGAAAUGCGAUAAGUAAUGUGAAUUGCAGAAUUCAGUGAAUCAUCGAAUCUUUGAACGCACAUUGCGCCCGCCAGUAUUCUGGCGGGCAUGCCUGUUCGAGCGUCAUUUCAACCAUCAAGCCCCAGGCUUGUGUUGGGGACCUGCGGCUGCCGCAGGCCCUGAAAACCAGUGGCGGGCUCGCUGUCACACCGGGCGUAGUAGAUUUUAUCUCGCUCAGGGUGUGCUGCGGGUUCCGGCCGUUAAAAAGCCUUUUUUACCCAAGGUUGACCUCGGAUCAGGUAGGAAGACCCGCUGAACUUAAGCAUAUCAAUAAGCGGAGGA